rnacentral:lncRNA from 1 species
CGGGAUGUAAAUUAAUUAUUGGCAUUAUGUUGAACGACCAUACUUAAUAUAACUUAUAUAAAGGUACAAAUUAAUGAGUAUAUACAAAGUAACAUAUGAUUAAAGGUUGAAACAGUUCAAAUGUUUCCUGUUUUCCUGACAGAAUGUCCUAUUUUGUUUUCAUGCCCGUUUGAAAUCUAGAUGAUAAAUAAACUGGUAAAUAGUCAAUUUGAAAUGAUAAAAUGAGCGUAUUGCAUUUCCGCUAAUUUUCAAAGUCCCAAUACUACGUUUCCGCAAUUUGUAUUUAUUACUUUUCCGAAAAUUUACAAAAACGUAUAACGUCUGAUAAAACAACUCAUAAAACCAACCAAAUGAAAUCUAUUUGGCGAUGACAAGAAGCAAUAGACCUUAAAUAAUUGCAUUUUCGCAGUACAAGUUCACAAACAUAAAUAUAUUUUUUUGUCUUUUAUGUUCAACUUAUUUUGUGAUUUCCUCAAGUUUUUUGUAUUUUUAAUUGAAAUUUAAUCAAUCUAUAAAAUAAAAUUCAGAAUGGAAAUGGGGAAUGCGUCAGAGACAACAACCCGACCAUAGAGCAGACAACAGCAAAAGGUCACCAAUUCAGCGUGAAAUUCCCGCAACUGGAGGCGUUAUUCAGCUGGCUCCUAAACAAAUAUAAAUACUAGUUCAGUGGUAAUGAACGCCAUACUAAACUCCACAUUGUACACAAGAAACUAAAAACACUACCUCGUGUAUAACCGUUUUGAGUAAAAAUAUUAAUAAAUAAACAUAGAAUGUUGAGCACCAGGAAUCACAGCAUCUAUCUCGAACAGGAAAAUUUGAAGGAAACCUAACGGUGAUCUACAAUUGCUUAUAAAUCAUCGUCAUUUGAAUUCUGGUGAGUAGUUGUAUCAAUGAUUAUUAUACCACAUUUCCUGAUUUUAAUAUUAAACUAACUAAUUGUAUUGUUCCUAUACAGUAUUGAUGCUUGGAACUGUAGAUUUCCAUUAUAGAAGACCAGGACAGUAGGUCAAUGGAAUGUCACUUGUUCAUAAGUAGACCAGGUCAGUAGGUCAAUGAUUUAUUCGUAUUGUGGCGCAUUUUGAUUAGAUAAUUGAAGAUGUUUAAAAUAUUCUUCUAAUCGCUGUAUUCUCCAGACAAAAACACUGCAGUAAUUGACUAUAUAACAACAGCAAUUGAAUGUCAAGGUGGACCAAUUGACACUGUUUCAAUAUUCAAGUAUCCAAGAAUACAAUCAUAAAACUGAGUACAAACAGAACGAACAUAUUAAGGUACAAACAGAACGAACAUAUUAAGGUACAAACAGAACGAACAUAUUAAGGUACAAACAGAACGAACAUAUAAAGAUAUAAACAAAAUAAAAUGAUUAGAUAUCAAUAACUCACAUUUGUUUUAAAU